rnacentral:rRNA from 1 species
UACGUAGGUGGCAAGCGUUGUCCGGAUUUACUGGGCGUAAAGAGCGCGCAGGCGGUCGGAUUAGUCGCGUGUGAAAGCCCCCGGCUCAACUGGGGAGGGUCACGCGAUACUGAUCGACUCGAAGGCAGGAGGGGUAGUGGAAUUCCCGGUGUAGUGGUGAAAUGCGUAGAUAUCGGGAGGAACACCAGUGGCGAAGGCGACUACCUGGCCUGUUCUUGACGCUGAGGCGCGAAAGCUAGGGGAGCAAACGGG